GUUUUGUCAAGGCUUGGUAAAUGUAUCAUCUUAAGAGGCUUUGUGGGACACCUACGCAUACACACACACACACACACACACACACACACACACACACACACACACACACACACACACACACACACACACACACACACACACACACACACACACACACACACACACACACACACACACACACAAACCGCUGGCACGGACACACCCGCUCACUAGAUUUGAAUAUUGAUUUAGAUUUAUAAACACAGGCACACACCCUGGGUUCUAUGAGUCGUCAUUUGCCUCUCUCUGUCCCGGUGGAAGGCCGGUGUCAAAGGUGGAGGCUGGUCGUAGCUGCUUUAUGAAGUAGCAUCACACGUCUUGCUGCAGUGAGGAAUGAGUUGAUAUGGGAAGGCAACGCUUUUGGCUCCAACAGUAACAAUGCAGCGUCGUGUAUCUCUGGACAGAUUCUGAUCCCAAGAAGAAUCUGUGGAUUAUGACCGAUGGAUUAAUAGGCACGAGACAAAAGACCCCUCCGCAUCUCGUCAGAUGUCAAGUUAUAUGUGUAUUCGUGUGUGUGUGUUUGUGUUCGUGUGCGUGUGUGUGUUUGUGUGUGUGUGAUGGUCGUGCUCGCAGCGACGGUUUGAUGGAAUGGAGCCGAGGUGGAGGAGUCGAGGUUGAGUAGUCUAGGUCGAGGACCCGAGGUGGAGGAGCCGAGGUGGAGGAGUCGAGGUGGAGGAGCCGAGUUGGAGGAGCUGAGUUGGAGGAGCUGAGGUGGAGGAGCUGAGGUGGAGGAGCCGAGGUGGAGCAUCACAGGUGUACCUUCAGGAGUUCGUCACCGAGCAAACAGCCCGCCGCCCCGCGCUGGAACCAACAACCACAAGACUUAUGGAAAACACAAGGACACAUAUAAGUCACGGGGAGACCUGUGUGUGUGUGUUCGUGUGUGUGUGUGUGUGUGUGUGUGUGUGUGUGUGUGUGUGUGUGUGUGAGAGAGACUGUGUGUGUCCUUGUGUUUAUGUCUGUGUGCUUUAAGAAUAGCUUGGAUUCAAUUUGGCAUUUAAAAGAGGUUACUUCAGCAAAAUUGAUCAACGUGCUAUUGCUCCUCUAAAAAUCAACAACAUGGCCAUGUUAUAUUUCUUACACCGUUCUAUUUUUUUUAAAUGUAAUUUCUUUGUGGAUUUAUGAUUCUAGGUUUAUUUCCUUUCUGUAAAGCUGAUAAGAUGUGUUGUGAUUUUUUUUACUGCGUUGAUUUGUAGAAUUAACAUCUUGGCCUCCUCAGCAUCACACAGUCCGUCUCUCUGAAUCCAGUUGAGCAAUUUGUAUGUCUAAUGUUUACAUGAUUGUCCAUAAUAAAUCUGUUUUCUAUUUUGCACUUUCUCCCACUUUCUCGCUCUCUCUACUUCUUCACCCUUUCUAAACUCGCCCCAUCAUCACAAAGAUACACAAAGAUAAACAAAGAUACACCCAUGCACACACACACACACACACACACACACACACACACACACACACACACACACACACAUGCACCUCUGCAUAGUCUGAUCUACCUCACUGUAGCUAGCUGUCUCCCUGUGCCGAGGUGUGUGUGUGUGUGUGUGUGUGUGUGUG
ensembl:lncRNA